rnacentral:rRNA from 1 species
AUACGGAGGGUGCAAGCGUUACUCAGAAUCACUGGGCGUAAAGCGCGCGCAGGCGGCUAUUUAAGUUGGAUGUGAAAGCCUAUGGCUCAACCAUAGAACUGCAUCCAAAACUAUUUAGCUAGAGUGUGGGAGAGGAAGAUGGAAUUAGUUGUGUAGGGGUAAAAUCCGUAGAGAUAACUAGGAAUACCAAAAGCGAAGGCAAUCUUCUGGAACACUACUGACGCUAAGGCGCGAAAGCAUGGGGAGCAAACAGGAUUAGAAACCCUAGUAGUCC